rnacentral:rRNA from 1 species
UUAGCGCUGGCGGCAUGCUUUACACAUGCAAGUCGAACGGUAACGCGGGGGCAACCUGGCGACGAGUGAGCGAACGGGUGAGUAAUACAUCGGAACAUGUCUGGAGUGGGGGAUAGCUCGGCGAAAGCCGGAUUAAUACCGAUAAGCUCCGAGAAGAAAGCGGGGGACCCGUAAGGCUCGCGCUGCAGGAGUGGCGAUGUCGGAUUAGCUAGUUGGUGAGGUAAAGGCUCACCAAGGCUACGAUCCGUAGCUGGUUUGAGAGAACGACCAGCCACACUGGGACUGAGACACGGCCCAGACUCCUACGGGAGGCAGCAGUGGGGAAUUUUGGACAAUGGGGGCAACCCUGAUCCAGCCAUGCCGCGUGAGUGAAGAAGGCCUUCGGGUUGUAAAGCUCUUUCGGCCGGAACGAAAUCGGGGGCGUGAAUAACGUUUCUGGAUGACGGUACUGGAAGAAGAAGCACCGGCUAACUACGUGCCAGCAGCCGCGGUAAUACGUAGGGGCCUAGCGUUGUCCGGAUUUAUUGGGCGUAAAGAGCUCGUAGGCGGUUCGGCAAGUCGGAUGUGAAAUCUCCACGCUUAACGUGGAGGGGCCAUUCGAAACUGCCGUGACUCGAGUCCGGUAGGGGAGUGUGGAAUUCCCGGUGUAGCGGUGAAAUGCGCAGAUAUCGGGAGGAACACCAGUAGCGAAGGCGGC